UGGGGAAUAUUGCGCAAUGGGCGAAAGCCUGACGCAGCGACGCCGCGUGAGGGAUGAAGGUUUUCGGAUCGUAAACCUCUGUCAGAAGGGAAGAAACCGCACUGUGCUAAUCAGCAGUGCCUUGACGGUACCUUCAAAGGAAGCACCGGCUAACUCCGUGCCAGCAGCCGCGGUAAUACGGAGGGUGCAAGCGUUAAUCGGAAUUACUGGGCGUAAAGCGCACGUAGGCUGCUUUGUAAGUCAGGGGUGAAAUCCCACGGCUCAACCGUGGAACGGCCUUGGAUACUGCUUAGCUUGAAUCCGGGAGAGGGUGGCGGAAUUCCAGGUGUAGGAGUGAAAUCCGUAGAUAUCUGGAGGAACAUCAGUGGCGAAGGCGGCCACCGGGACCGGUAUUGACGCUGAGGUGCGAAAGCGUGGGGAGCAAACAGG
rnacentral:rRNA from 1 species